rnacentral:rRNA from 1 species
UAGUCCACGCCGUAAACGAUGGACACUAGCUGUCGGUCCGCCUUUGGCGGAUCGGCGGCCAAGCGAAAGUGAUAAGUGUCCCACCUGGGGAGUACGUUCGCAAGAAUGAAACUCAAAGGAAUUGACGGGGGCCCGCACAAGCGGUGGAGCAUGUGGUUUAAUUCGAUGAUACGCGAGGAACCUUACCAGGGCUUGAAUGCAUUAUGACAGGGGUGGAGACACCCUUUUCUUCGGACAUUUUGCAAGGUGCUGCAUGGUUGUCGUCAGCUCGUGCCGUGAGGUGUCAGGUUAAGUCCUAUAACGAGCGCAACCCCUGCCGUUAGUUGCCAGCAUGUAAUGAUGGGGACUCUAACGGGACUGCCGGUGCAAACCGCGAGGAAGGGUGGGGACGACGUCAAAUCAUCACGGCCCUUACGUCC